AAGAUGAACUAAACAUGCAUGAUGCUAAAUGAACAUAUAAGUGUUUGUAAAUGGAGGAGAAAACAAGACCCCGGAAUGCCAGGACCUAACAGCUGCCAAAGCUUGAAAUUUCUGAUGUGAUAUCAACACUAUUCAGUAUUUCAUUUGGAACAGAAAAAAUCUGCAGACUGAGAUACUUGUACUGAGGAAAUACCUGCUGUUGAAGAAAAAAUUACCCAAGACUUGUUUAGGUAGAAACAACAAUAUGCAGAUAGUUAAAAUUGCUGCAUCUAUUAGAGCACCCAUCGUCGUCAGGAAUUUUUCUUGAAUUUCCAGCAUUUCCAAAAAUGCACCUCGCAGGCAUGGAUUGAUUGUUGUAGCUUAAGCCUUAACACAUGUUACAAGAUUAUUCAACCCUGAUGAGAAGUCACAAGAUGCAGUGAAUGACACUAGGGAGCAAUGAAGAGUGAGGGUUCUUUAUUGUGCCAAUGUCUGCUGUUCCAACCUUUACUCUCUCAACCAAAAGACCUCCAACUUUACAGCACCAGAAUAUAUGAUUAGCCACUGGGAAAAUUUUUACAAACUUUUCAUAUGUAACAAUAUUGCAAGUUUUUAGUGUUGUUCUACAUGUAAACAGCAUGUACAUCAUUUUUUAGAUAUAUGUACAGAUGUGAUGAAAUAAUUAGGAACUCUAGUUAGUGUACGGUUAGUUUUAUCCCACUUGUACAUAUGUUAUAUCUCAUAAAAAAAAACUAGUUAAAAAAAUCAAAGUUUGUAUAUAAAGUAACAGCUAAUACAUGUAGCUAUUUAAAAUGACUGAGUGAAAUCAUUAUAAACAAACAUAUACAAGAAAAAUAUUUUUAUAUAUUAAAUUUCAUCAAUACAUGUAUUUGAUACCCAAUGGUACUGUUUGAUACUCCAUAGUUAAAUCUAUUAUACCUGUCAUCAUUUUUUCCUGAAAUGUGAAAUACUUUAUCAAUAAAGUAUUUUACCUGUGUGUGAAAUUCUUAUACUUUUACAAUUAUAGUAGCCUAGACUCAGAGUAAUAUAACACAGGUGCAUUAUUGUCAAAUUUUGCGAAAACAUUCCCAGAUUACAAAUUGAUAGAUAUUUCAGCUCAGGGGGGAGUGGGGUUUAAGGUGGGACACAAUAGGGGAUCAAAGUUUUACCUAGAAAUACCAAGAAACAAGAUGUGUUCGUGAAACACUGAUGCCACCGUAUGGCAACAUAGGUAAGAUUAAGCUUUUCUUAAAAUUAAUGCAAAUUUAAUUAAUUGGUACCAAGAGUAGGGUAUUCUCACUGGAAAACAAUUGUGAAAUUUGAAAGUAAGCCAAUCUUAAAGUUUUUUAAUAAGUACAAAAAUCUCCAAGGUCAAGGUCAAAAGGUCAAUGUAAUUAGUAUCAAAUGAAAGGUCUUGCUAAAUUAAAAAAAAAAAUUCUGCUCAAUAACAGCAAAGCCAGUUGUUAUAUUGAUAUGGAAGCAUCAUCAGGUUUUUUAG